UACAGAGGGUGCGAGCGUUAAUCGGAAUUACUGGGCGUAAAGCGCGUGUAGGCGGCUUUGCAAGUCGGGUGUGAAAGCCCUCGGCUCAACCGAGGAAGUGCGCCCGAAACUGCAGAGCUCGAGUGCCAGAGAGGGUGGCGGAAUUCCCCAAGUAGAGGUGAAAUUCGUAGAUAUGGGGAGGAACACCAGUGGCGAAGGCGGCCACCUGGAUGGUGACUGACGCUGAGACGCGAAAGCGUGGGGAGCGAACGGG
rnacentral:rRNA from 1 species